GCAGACAUUUCCACCUGGAGAUGGGGCCCUUGCUCAGCCAAGGACUACAGAGCCAAAGUUGUUGGAUGCUGAAUGGCACUGUCCAGCAUUGCCAGAGGACACAGCAGAGGAGCACAGCGAUGUUAACAUGGGGUGUUAUUGGUCACACAGCAGCCUCACUCUUUGGGUCCCAGUAUUUGCAUGGACAUAGCACCACAGCCCACUGCCAAUGAGGACGGGUCAACAAGAAAUUAGAAACGUUGGAACAGGAGUUUAAACACGACAGUCCAAGUCUCAGAGCAGGACUCCAUGGUCACAGCCACAAGUGCAGUUUGAGCCAUUAGGCUGAGGUCUCACUAGCAAGCAGUGUUCUUCAGAAAAACCCAGAGCAUUCUCUGUUUUCUUGAAGUUUCUGUGCAAGCACAGCACUCUUACUGUGCAAUUUCCUAGUGUAAAGAGAGAAGGGCUGCAUUUUCUUCUUUGUUUCCUGAUAAAGCUUGGACCUGAAUUAACAUUUGCAUUAAAUUACAGUAAGUAGACACAUCCACUGAGGAAGCUGGGUCUUCAUUCUUCUACAAGAGGACAAAGACACAUCUACACACUAUUUAUUUACUAAUAUGUUGCUCCAGGCAAGUUUUCAUCAGUCAUUCUGAAGACCAUUAUAGAACAGGUGAGUGUUAUCAGAAGAUAACUUUUGGGUGGAUAUUUCAGCCAGUGCCAGGAAGUCAUCUGUAUGCAAUUUUGGAAGCAGAAACUCUGUUUGUUAAGGAUCCCUCACAUUCAACAUUCUGAGUAAUUGUAUGCAUAAUUAUCCAUCAUACAGAACAGAGUUGUAAUAGUUUUACUGGAUGGAAAGAAAGCAUCUCAAAAGUAGGGAGCAAUUACUGCAAAGUUAUCCAAAGAUGGAUAAAUUUAUCCCAGAAACUGGAAGCAGAGGAAAAGCUAUAAGCUGUGUACUCUUCCAUUUCCCUCACAAAUUGUGACUCCAACAUCACAUUUUCUCUUUGUUUAAACAAUCCCCAGAAAGAGCUUUAAUGGUGUCAGAUAUUUUUGCAUUGCAAAGAUAAAAACUGGCCUUUCUGCAUUUUGUU